UUACUCGCUAGAAGCAGCGGGAGCGAGCGAUAGAGUGGCAGUUGGUGGAGGAGGUGGGGGUGGCGCGAAGAAAGAGGCGGAGAAAGAGAAGAUCGAUGAGCGGCGAAAAGUACACACGGAAUGCGAACAGCCGGCAAGCGAAAUUAUUAUUUUCGAGCCUCUUAAAACAGGGUGAAAAGCGAGAAAAAUAUCACAAGAAAAAACUAACUACACACGCACACACGUGCACGCACACGAAAGCCGAUGGAAAAACACAAUGGGCAACUAAGCCAAACCAAAACAACAAAACGAGCGACAAAUGCCGCUCGAUCAUAAUUGAAAAAUGCAUGCCAGCAACAAAAACAAUAACACAAGCACAACAACAAGAAGCAACAGCUAUGGGAAAACAACAAGGCGGAGAGAGAAAAAAAACAGCAGAUGCACAGCGCACCAACAAAUAAAUGCCAUCGCAUGCUUUUACCCGCUGGCGGAAGAGAGAGGGAGCGAGGGCGAGCGAGAGAGGGAGAGAGUGACACGCAAAGGAGUUGAAAUUUUAAAGGAAUUUUAUUUGAAAUGCAAACAAUGCAGCUCACACACACACACACACACGUGGGAACGAGAAGUGCAACAAAAUGGCAAUGAAACACGAGCAGCGAAAUGAGCAGAGGAAAGGCGGCGCAGCGGCAGCGGCGUCGGCAGAGGGUGCACAGGAAAAAACAAAUGCAUAAAUGCAAAAUAACACAAGUUUAAGGAAGGCUGACCAUUUUUGUAAGACUUCACAACCAAUCCGAUUGCAACCUAUCCGAGGCAUGUAACCCGUGGAAUAUGUGACAGCGCUGACAACUGCCGACGUCUUACUGGUCAUUUCGGUUACUUUCUGUUGAUGGAGCUGCCUUUUUUAUGGCCUUUUCAACGCUCGACUGAAUGAGUCACUGCGUGGCUCGCAAAGGUUUUUGUUGUUUUGUUUUUACUUUACUUUUUUAGGUAAUUGGCACUUUACCCAACCGAACUCCACCCGGGACCUGCGAUGAUGAUCUGCCAUCAGUGUCAGCUGUUCAACGCACCGAGAAGGGCAGCGGAUAAUGGCGAUGCGAUGCGGUGUGAAGGUGGAUGAAAUGGGGGGAAGGUUGAAACGAGGUUGGAGAGCUGGUUCCAUUCAACAAUGCAUAUGUCGCCCCGCUUGGUUAGCGUUGAUUUAUGGACAGAAAUGUACAUAAAUACGGGAAACGGAGUACGGACUACAGAAUAUACACAUAUGGAGGGCGGCGGCAUCUAAUAACCUCCACGAUUGCCCUUUUUCCCCCAAAAAGCCUCAAUCGACUGUCCACAAAGUUCAAUGACAGCCGCAGCAACGAAUCCCCAAUUGAGAAGUCCAGGGGGAAUGGGAAUGGGAAUGGUGCCGAGCAGACCCCACACAGAAUCCCAGUCCACCGGCCAUUUGUUGCUGUUAGUUUACGGCUCUUGUUUGCAUAUUUGCAUAGGUCUGUCCACCACUGCACUCCCAUUCGACAAUACAGGGAAAGAAACUAUCACCAGAGUGUAUUUCACUUGAGGGGAAUAUUUGCAUACAGCAAGCAGUAUACAAGGGAAAACCUAGGAGGAGUAUACUAAUAUGUAGUUCAGAUGGUUCAACAGCUUUUAUUGCUGACUUAUCCAGUGAUCGAAACCGGUUUUCAUCCAAUCACAGCCAAAACCCAUUGGGAAUUAUAGCGUGACAGAGGCGGAAAGGAAUAAUAACAGAGAAAACACAACCAUUAAUCAAUUUUAAUUCAUACGUGCUAUCACAAUUGCAACCGAAAUAAUAUAGGAGCUAAUUUGAAUAACUUCUUUUGGGAUCAUUUUCAUUUGAUAUUGUAUUCUUGAUUCUUUUCUAAGCACUAUCAUCAGUUUGGACAAUUAUAGGUCCCCUCACAGUCCAGUGUCAACAGUCCAAAGGCAAAUAGAAAAAGGUCAGAACUGCGAGGAACCCUCUGAAACUCAUCAGGAAGCGGAAGGCGAAUGAAGAAACCCAUUAAAUCAACACACGCGAUCCUUGGGAAACAUCUGAUCCCACUUGAGAGACUUGCGAGAGGUUCGGAGGAACCCUUGUCACAGGAUGAAGACGAAGCGCGACUGGGGGCCCAGAGGAAAUCUGCGCUGAUGACCGAAGACCGCGCUCCGGCCUUGUGUGGCGCGUGCAAAGGAGCGGCCAGUGACGCGUGUCCUUAAAUGCAGCUGCCGCCUGUGGAGUACAAUCAACAAUAAAUCCGAGAUCCGAGAUCCGAGGCCUCGCCCCUCAGUCGCUUUCGGGGCAACUGCUGCUACGCACUCAGCCCGAACUCGUCGCCGUGCCCAUAUCACGGGGGAACCUCUAGACAAUGGCAGCCAGCAGACGUUGCACCUGCCACCGAGCACACAAUGCAAAGUGGCAGAAAGGAGAAGGCCCAAAAUACAGCACAAAAAAGGCCGAUGACGUUCGUCCGCUGUUUGAGUUUGGUUCCUUUUCGUCUUGCCCGCUUCUUCAACCCCUCUGAGUCACACACACCACACACCGCUGAUUAUGAGAUCAAGAUAGUCGCCGUCUCAGUCGUCGUAGACCCGGGAACAGAUGCGUUUUCGAGCACAUCCUCUAGCGGUGGUUGGUUAUCCCAUUUGCGCACAUUCAAGGCGUAGCCCAAGUACACUUUGAGAAACCCCCCUGACAAGGGCACAAGAAAAGCGCCUCAUCGAAUUUUUGAUGGC